rnacentral:lncRNA from 1 species
GAAAAUGGAGUAGGUUGGAGAAUAAUUUCCUCCAAAAUGGCAUUUGGAAGAAGAAAUGGGGUAGAGUUGGAGAUGCCCUGAGUUCCAUCGUCCGCCAUCGUCGCAACACCACGCCCACAGCUCUGUCUCAGGUCAUCCUAACUCAAAGAGCAGUUCACAAUCUCACCACGAACUCAUCGAGAGAUGAAAAGAUCUAAUUGGAAUUUCUGCAAUUUGCUGUUUCGAAAACUCAGCUCCACUCAGAACCAGAAUCAGCACUCCGCGAAAAAUCAAUUUCACAACAAGCAAUCCGCCAUUACUUCGAGCUCCCCGGAGCUCCGCCAUCGUCGCCGCCACUCACCGCCGUCCCUGCAACAGAUCAAGCCGACAUAAAUAAAAGGAUCAGAUUUUCUUCUUCUAAUUGGGCUCAAGCAGAUUUUGGCCCACCUGACAUAAAAAAAUACUAAGCCUGAUUCUGGCCCAAGGCGAUGUGAAGACUUAGGCCCAUCCUUCACAAUCUUCAAGAUCUUCAUCUUGGCGAUGUCUUCAUGAUCUUUUCUCGACGGAAAGUUAAAAUCUGAAGCCAACACCUGUGAAAAACUGAGGGGACAACUGGACAAGACUCUUAUGAUCUCAGCUCCAACAAUUAUUUUAGAUCGGCUCCCCCUAAUCUUUGCUGUAAUCCUAAAAAGAACUCUCC